CACCACGUGUCCCGGUCGAAAAAAUCAUUUGAAAAUCAAUUUUUCGUGCCAAUUGAUUACGUAAAUAUCGUAUCUUUCCACGCAAUUAUACAUUUUCACAUAUCCGCCUCCAGUUAAUCGGUUUCAUCGAUCGCGAAACGUUCGUAUUCGCGAAACGACCUCGAGGAAGAAAGAAUCGCGCAUCAUCAACCAUCUUAACACAUCGUUUUGAGCACAUCAGUCAAAAAAGGAGAGAAAGAAAAGGAGAGAAAGAGAGAAGAAAAAAAAAAUUGCCCGAAUCCUCUCGUGGUUUUUCACACCUCUCGAACAAAGAGGAUCGGGAAUGAAUGUGUCUGUCCAAUAUUCUUUGUGCGUCUCUCCAUUCACCUCGAUAAUAACUUCGUCGGCCCGGAAAGAGUUCCCUCUUCAUUCCCGGGAAUAUCGAAAAGUUUUCGCGGAGGGCUUUCACCGAGGCCGUAAGAAAACGGCUCGCGAGAUUAUUGCCUUUCUUACCGGAGGAACUUGGGAUUUAAAGGCAAUGAGAACGAGGCCGGGCAAGGUUUGUGCAUCGUAACGGUGAUUGAAUUUCCAAGGAGAUUGUUCGAAACAUUGAUUACUUUUUUUUUUGUUAGAACGUUGGAACGAGCUAGCGAAACAAAGCCAUUAAUAAGGUAUUCUAUAAAUGAGACAAACGAGGAAUGAGACAAACGAGGAACGAGGAAGAUAAUUUAGUAGAUUGUUAUUUUAAAUACCUAUUCGAGAGUGAAUUGUUGGAUUGGAAACUAAAAUAUCCAUUGUUCCGUGAAGAAUUUGUAGGGAAAAUCCACGAAUUGGGCAACCUUCUUUUAGUGCAGAAACAAAGGGUGUAUUGUCUUUAAAUUUGCCUCCCUGGUUCGUGGUUGAAUACCUUUCAUUUUCAAUUCAACGAGCAAUUCGAGGAAAAUUUAUAUUCACAAUUAGAAAUAUAAUGGAAAAAAUAAUGGAAAAUUAAUUUUCAGUUUGCAAAAGAAUCGUAUAUUUUGAGAAUUUGUUGAAAUCAAUUUGAAUUAUCGAUCUAUUCCCGCGCUUUCAUUUUCCGCCAUCUGUAUUUGUUCCCGCGAAGGAACAAACUUUCAAAACUUCCUACGAAACAGCUAUAGGAGCAUGCGUUGCUUGCAUUAUAUUUGCAUACAUUUUAUAACGAAUACAUAAUUCAAAAGAUACGUAGUUUCGAAUAAAAGUGUGAUCUCACGAACGAGAAACACGAAAAUGGAGAGGUAACUGGCUCGUAUUCGUCGUUGUGGUGGGGAGAAGCGAGGAGUGGGAGUAAAUGGCGACUGGAGGGGAUAAUCGCCCCUAUCGUACCCCCACCAUCGUCACCUCCUUGCGCGCGGAGAUAAUUUUAGAGUUGAGAAAAUAAAACAACAUUGCGAUUGCACAUGUUCAACAAGCAGCUGAAACAAAAUUGAACUUUGAAAACCUGAUGAUUCUAUGCCUAUACAUAGAAUUCUUUUGUAUUCUCGAUAAACGAUGAUCGCUUUUAUUUUUAUAAAAUAAAAUAAAUAGAACGAUUUAAAAGAUAAAGAUAAAAAAUCAUAUAUAAGAAAAAAAAUUAAAUUCUUUUUCACACAUUAAAUUAGAAAUAUUUUAUUUUUUAUAUUAAAAGAAAAUGAUGUGCAAUUAAUUCUUAAUGAAUGCAUUAUAUUUUAUUAUUUUGUUUUCGUGCAGUAUGAAUGUUAAACAGGUAAUUAAUAUUAAUGAUGCGUCAACUACGUUUAUAAAAUUAUUUUCCACGAUUCAUCAUUCCAAAGUUUAACCAAAUACUUUAACAAUGCCUCGCAACAUAAUUACAAAUUACAAAUAAGAUCUUAUUUACAUUCUAUUUAACCCGAGAUGAUUUAAUAUAUACCGAUUACAUUAAACAUUACCUAAAAUUAUACAAAACUUGUAAAAAAACAAUACGAAAUCAAUAAAAAAAAAUCAGUCGUUCAAAACAAAUUGUAGAAUACGAAAAAAAAAAAAAAGCAAUAUCGAGGAAACGCCAAGCAAUAAUCGUGAUAGAAAGGUUGAUCGAAUCCAAAGAGGACAGCUUGUUUUCAUCCUGGAGAGAAUUUGCGUGGGAGGUGGACGUAGAACGAUAUAUAUAUAUAUAUAUAUAUAUUGGUAGUGGGGGUGAAACGAUCGCCCCUGUUUAUUCCCCCACCACCAGCGCUAUUCACUCCGUCUCUGUCGCUCCUUGCCCUCCCCAUCAACCACGAGCGUUGAUGUACGAGGUAGAGAAGGUUUGUGUCCAGUCGUCGUCGGAGUUUCUGAUAGUGGGACCACGCGACUCUUGCCGUCUUAUCGUCUCUUGGCUUUUUAUCAAUGGAGAGCUCGUGUCACCGUCUUUCACGUUUACGUACGCACGCCUCGCGAUUACGCUCAACGACGCACGCGCGAUAUCGUGAGGAGAAGAGAAACAAACGUUCUGGACGUACGAUUGCGAGGGAGGCCAGUCCGGAAUUUUACUCGUCGCGUUUCUGGACGACGAAUUCUCUUUGCACGGGGCACGAAGAGAAGUCGAUGGAAUAAGACGAGAACGGGUUCAAAGGUCCACGGUGUGUGUUCCACUCCGAUUCGUAGCUCGAAGGCCUGGCUUUGGUUUCGUUUAUUCGACACAUCUCGGAUAAUCAACACGAGUCAGAAGGAGAAAAUUCGCCUCGAGGGCUUGAUGCUAUAAAAACGAGGAGGAGAGACGUGAUCUUCGUUCUCCGUCUUUUGUCGGUGAAAGAGAGCAGAUUCAGAUUCAGAGCAGAAGGAAGGAAAGAGACCCGUUCGAGAAACCGAAUCGCUGUCCUGCACGAUCUGCUUGGCCUAGCUUCGACUGACUUUACUUGGAUGAAGUUGGACAGCCUGUCUUGACCGAGAAAAGUAUAACAACGGCACGAAUUUGAUCUGGUUUGAUCCCUUUAUUCAUCGUUCGUUACCGAAUUCGGUUUCGACCUCUCAAAUUGGCGAAGAAAGUUGAGCGAUCAAUAUUCGAUCGAUAUUGGAAACAAAUUUUUUUUCCUUUGAUCGAUGGUAGAUCAUCGAGACGAGAAAUUUACACAUAUUGUUUUAGAUUGUCUUAUCUAAGACGUUUUAUAUAAUACUGGAAUAAGAUACGUAGAGUAGAAAUAAAAAGAAAAAGAAGAAGAAGAAGAAAAAGAAAUUGAAUAAACAAAAACAAAUUUCCAAAGGGUAAUGAAUUAUUGAAUGAUUUGGUCUAGUUAGAGAUAAGUUUGAUGUUGCAACAUUAAUCUUCUCGAAUCUAGUAAUAGAAUAUUCGUGGAAAGAUAUUUUUAAGAGCAUAUUUUUGAGAAUGAUCAUUGAGCCAAAGAGUCUGAGAAUAAAUUAAGCAAAGGUCAGAGUUCAAUAGAAAAUCAGCCCUCACGUGUCGUAUGAAAAUAGUUCAAAUAGAAGAGGAAAGGCGUGUCCCAUAAAGAACUUCCUAAUAUAUCAUCGUUCCAUGCUUUCAAUCUUGGAAAAAUCAUUGGAUAUAUUUCGUUCGAUACGAAUUAACCGUUCGAAGUCCAAAGAAAUUCGAUUUGAAUCUGUAUUACGGAAGAGCACGUGGCCAAGAUAGACAAAGGGAGAUCAGUAAAAUAGGACAACUGUAAUCAGACGAUUUAUCAAAAAAAAAAAAAGCGACGCACAAACGUUGAACAGGAACGCGUUAUGGUGGUGUGUAGCAGCUGACAGUACGCGGACGCACACGAGUUUCGGGUGUAAGGAAGGUACCGACGAGGAUCUACUUGCCGAUUGUUUCACCAUGAUACGAAUAUUCACAGACACCUUCAGGAAUCUUAUAAGAAGCUAUAAUUCUAGAGAAUUGUUUGAGUGGACAAAUGCAACGGUUCUCAACACUGGGAUUUAACACAAACCUCAAAAGAUCUGAUUUCACUAGAAAUAUUUGCAUGGAUAAAAGAAUUAUUAGCUCCUCAGAUUAUAAGAUUUAUUAUUAAAAGAAUUCUUUUCUCUAGGCGGGAAAAUAAAACGGUUUAAUAAUCCAGACAAUGCACGCGCGUGUGCAACGAGAAUCAUAGGAAGUUAUCCUACGAAUAGGAUAUAUUCAUAUAAGAAUACGAACAAUUAAUUCUUUCCGGAGUUAGAAAGUACUAUUGUUGUGCUUCAAGAGAUACAUUAAGGACUACAUUUAGAGUCAAGUUUAUAUUCUUAUUCUAUUGUAAAAGCAAAUAAGAAUGACAGUUUGCAAGCUCUCAAAGUUUCGCAAAGCCCGAUUCCAUAAAUACACAUUUGCGCAUACCAAGAGUCUGAGAUGAUGAGAAAAAGCAAAGCAAUAGAGAAGUAUAAAUAGAUACGAGACAAAAGUAAUAAACUUUAUGAUGGAUUUUAUUCGGAAUAUCCGGUGAAUUCUCAUUUUGACUUAUUAUAAUUUCGACUUGCGAUCGAGGGCGCAUAAUAAUUGUAAAGUUUGAGAGACUUUAAUCGUCAAGAAAGUUUCUUCACGCAAACUUUCUUAUCAAUUGUUUCCACUCUUUGUUCCAACUUUUAUUAAAAAAAUUAAUUUUA